rnacentral:lncRNA from 1 species
AGGGCUCCCUCGGCGUCUCCCGUCAACCCCGAUCUCUCCCCUAAACUUUGGACAUUCUCCCCUACGGUGUACCUGACCCCACUCCAACAAUCCCCAGACCCACCGCAGUCCUCCCCACUUUCCGCGGAGACUACCGGCCGAGAGCCGAGGGCGCCUUUUGCACCGGUGCGGCGAGCGCGGGGUGCAGAGGUAACCCCGCAGCGCUGGGCGUGGGGUUCCCCCGAAACGCCGGGCAGACUGCCUGGGAGUGGCCCGUAGCCCCGGGGCCAAGGGCUGGGGAGCCUCCGCAACAGGCCCGGCCUCCCUCCGGAGGAGCGCUGUCCGCGGUGGGGCUGGUUUCCGAGGUGCUGUGCCCGGUUCGCGAUGUUUACUUUUUAGCUGAGGUUUCCAUAGGGUGGGGUUGAGGGCCUGGGGAACCUCCUUCCGGCACGAUUGCGAGAUCGCAGUGUUAUGCCAGUAGCUGAGAAGCGGCUCGGGGUGGAGAACGGUUUUAGUUAAAGGUACAGAGCUUAGUUCGGACUCUGGAGAUUCUGCAUCUGCGCUUGAGCCUUUAGUAGAUACCAUUAUGUCUUCGCUGUUCCCACAUGAAAUUAGUGAGAACUUUUAGACUUUUGGGUUGGUGGUAAAUGAAUCCAGGGUGCUUACUUUCUACUUGUAUUUUCUGGUUACAGAUAAAGAUGUCUUUCUCCUUUUAACCGUCGCAGCAGAUUAUUAGACACUAUUGACCAGAAAUUUAAAAAAUUAAAAAAAAAAAAGCCUUUGGAGGCCACAUCGUCUUCAGGAUCAUCUUCUUAGAACCCAUUUCUGUGUGUUUGGAUCGAAAAAGUACCAUUUUCAAAUCCAGAGCUAAGAAAAUACUGAGGCUUUUGUAAAUGAACUUGAAGGAAAUUUUACACCUUGAAUAUGCAAAUCUCUCUCUUUGCCUUAGUUUUUCUUAAAAAAAAAAAAAAACCACCUAAAUUCUCAUGUUUAAUUGAUUCCUUUUUAAAAUACUAAAUUGUUUGCUUCUUUUGCCUAGGUCUCUGUGUUGGUUAGUUG